AUCCGAGCCUUCUUCUUCUUGAUCUUCACCAUCGGGAAUAUCAUCCCAAUCUUCAGGGAACGCCAUCAGUUCGUUCCAUUCGUUCCCCCUUUUCUUGGCGUUCACGAUAGCUUCCCAGUCUUUUUUAGUCAUUUCGGCCUUGCACCUGAUGCAUAGCCGAAGGUGUUUCUUGGCGUGAGCCACGUUGUCAGCGGUCUCCUUGUCAAAAACUUCCUUUCCUUUGAUUUUCACCAUAUUGACCUGAAAUGGAAAUGAAGUUUUGUUAAUUAUUCGACUUUCAUUUUCUUGGUCGGCCAAUAUGAGCCGACCCUCUUCUAUUUCCUCUUGGAUCUGCCUUUUUGCAGUCGCUUUCCCUUUCCCUUUCAUGUUCACGGUGUUGACCUGUGAUGGAAAAGGAUUCUUAUCAAUUUCCAUAUCUUUGUUUUCUUGGUCGGCAAAGAUCAGCCGACCCUCAUUUAUUUCUUUUUGAAUUUGCCUCUUAAAGGCAGUGCAUUCACUAGUUUUAUGGCUCCAUGAAUGGUGCCAUUUGCAGUAUCUUCUGCGUUUCAACUCUUCUACAGGAGGUAUAGUUUGGCCUUCCUGUAGUUUAAUUCGUCCGUCUUUUAAUAACCGAUCAAAAAUAAAAUCGGUUUUGGAUAUAUCAAAAGAAUAACUAAAAGCAGAUACAUGUGCUUUUGCUUCUCUUGACUUUGCAGGUUUUAGCAAAGCACAUUUGUAUGGUUGAUUAUUCCUCACCAUCUCGGCAGCACAUAUUUCGGCUUCGUCAGCCGAAUCUUCUGCCUCCUCAGAUGAAUUCGGCUCCUCAUGAGCCGAGGAUUCUUCAAAGAAAGAAAUAUUUUUCUCUUUCCCUUUAUUCCAAUCUUUAUUUCGGCUCCACCUAGGCCGAUCUUCAUUGUUCCCUUUUCGAAAUUGCUCGUAUUGAGCAACUCGAACUCCCAAAUCAAAAAGAUUUGGAAAGAACUUAUCUUCAAAAUGAUCCUUAAUCUUAAAAUGCAUGCCGUUAAAUGCCAUUUUGGCAAAUUCUGAUUCCGGCAUCCUCACAAAACAUCGGCUUCGAGCCGUCUUGAAUCGGUUUAAAUAUUCAUCAACCGAUUCUCCCGUUUUUUGUCUAAAUUGAGCCAAGUCUGCAACUGACAACUCAGGCUCAGUUCUAUAAAAUUGCUCAUGAAACUUACCUUCUAAUUCGUCCCAGUCUCGGACGGAAUUAGCAGGUAAACUCGUAUACCAAGUGAAAGCUGUCUUGGUCAAUGAAGUAUUAAAUAAUCUUAAUUUCAAAAAAGGAUCUGCCGCAGCUUCGCGGCAUUGGGCUGUAAAUCGAGCGACAUGUUCGACCGUAUUUUCGGUCUCAUCUCCAGAAAAUUUGUCAAAUUUCGGCAUCUUCCAAUUUGCCGGAUAUGGGUGUUCCACAUCUAUAUUAACAGGAUAUGGUGAUCUGAAUACAGGCCGCAUUGCCGGCCUUGUGCCUACUCCGAAAGUGUUUCGGAUCGCUUCUUCUAUUUGCGCAUAUAUUUCAUUAUUAAUCCCCGGCAAGGGGGCUUGCGCUGGUACUGGGUUCAAUGGUUGUUGAAUCCCAAUAUUUUGCCCUAGGGGAUUAACCCCUUGUGCAUUCGGGAGCUGCCCCCUAGCCUCUACAUUUUGAGGCUGGUAGGCUGCAAUUGGAGGGGGUGGAGGUAAACCCCAAGCCAUUUCUGGCUGUUGACCGGCAUUACCGACAGCCGGUCUAUAAACCGCUUGAUACUGUGCCCCCUGGUAUUGGGGCUGGCCACCUACCGGUGUUACUGGAUUCUGUAACACUGGUGUUACCACAGGCACUUGAAGGCCUGCUAUCGGCUGCUCGUUUCGAGCUAACAACUGCCCUAUUCGGGCUAUAUUUUCGUUAGAGGCCGUGAUUGCGGCCAAAACGGCGUCCAGCCGUGCGGUACUUGCAUGACUAUUUUGGUCCAAAGUCUGUAGGACCCUAGUCAUCUGGCCAAGUGCUUGGGUCAAACUAGGCUCCUGUUGGCCGGAUUGACCGCUAGUUUCACCUUCCGUCGGUAAAACUGCUUGGCGCUCCACAGCGUUCUCCGAAUUACCGGGCUGUUCACUCCCAGAAUUUCUGGGAAUGGCCCUAUUACGGAGAUUCAUGGCGUUGUCGUCAGCCAUAAUCAAAUUCAAAUUUACCUCAAAUGUGAGUCCCACCGGGCGUGCCAAAAAUUUGUUGAUAGCCGAAUUUCCCGAUGCCUUGACCCUCCUCGGGAAGUGUGUCGGGGUGGAAAUCGGCUGCUGAUAGUGACCCUCGAAGUUUGCGCCCACGACGGGUCAAGCGAUUCGACCGAUGAGGGAUCAAAUCGGUCGGGUCCGAAAACCUCCUUAGUAAAUUCGCUUCGGCAAGAUGAGCCGAAUGAACAGGUGGGGCCUAUAUUUCGGCUGAGAGAUGAGCCGAAUAGCUAGGACAAAAACGAGAUCUGGUCGGCCUGAGGAGCCGAAAACGACUUUCUAUUAAUAAGAAGGGAGUGAUGCCCGGAGGGCAGACAGACUCCGAGGUGUACAAGGGAGUGAUGCCCCGAGGGCAGACAGACUCCAAGGUGUUUACAAUGAAGUGAUGCCCGGAGGGCAGACAGACUCCAAGGAGGCUAAGUUACAAGAACUACUCCUAGGCAAAAGCGAGAAAUGCAGGGAAAAUAAAGGUGGUCUUUUGUGCGCAGGGGCGAAGACCCGUUUUCAGGGUACUACAGGCCUAUUUAUAUAUUUUCCCCUUGUGUUCAGUUAUUGCACGAUCGGCCAUCUUCUCCGGAUUUGGAGGACCACGUUCGGCCGAUUGGAACUGCCGUUGGGAACCGCCCAUAACCGCUUGCGGUUGUCACGUUUUUCGAACAAACGCGGCUCAUAUCUCCUGGCGCAUUUUUCCGUGCUCCCGAUCCAGCGCUUUGAAUCCUGAAUAUGGAUAUGAACUCAGUGUGCCAACUGUCCGCGCCGGAUUGGUUCAACAAUUGCCCCCUCGGCAGCUUUCGAAGCGACGCUUCGGUAGCUGGCGCGAUCUUCAACUUCUUAUUGCCGAAAGCAAGCUUGAUCCGAGGCGUGUUUCUCGGUCCAAUCAAAUUCAAAUUUUCUGACGAGAUCUGCAGCGAUUCGUGACACAAUCUUUCGUACGGUUUUAGCCUUGGCCGUUGAUUCUUUUCUCCACGGCCUUUGAUCACAUUCUCAAUUUUGUCUCAUACGCGGCAUUAAUUAGGUCAUCUUAAUUACCGCCGUCUAUUCAUCAUUAUAGCCGACCUCGGGACUCGUAAUCGACGCGAUAGUUCGAUACGACGGCCUUUUCUUCUUCAUCAAGCUUCCCAUUCUUUUUGUCUCUUUCAAUUCUUCUUUCUUUUCCUAACCGAAUCUCUCGGCUCUUCUCUUCUUUUGAACAAUGUCUCUGGUUCCUCCUCUUCCUUCUCAUUCAUCUCUUGACUAUACCAUACUCAAACCCUUCGUUGAUUUAGAUCCUUCUAGGUUUAUAUUAGGACCUUCUCUUUUAGACAUACCAUCCCCUACUGACUCCCCUUUCUCUGAUGAGGGAUUUCCUCUGAAAAGAGUUAUUCAUCUCCAUUCUUGGUACUCAUCAGCUUCGACAGGGAAGAGUCUCAGAACUUGGCCAAGUGUCUCUGAAGCGUAUUUGGCCUGGUUAGAUAGAGUAGAAUCCGCUUAUGGCGCCUCCUGGCGAGAAAUAGGCAUUUAUGAAGCGAUUCAAUUAUCUCGGCACCCUCCUAUAGCCGAUAAUCUUCUUCUAGCCGCCGCUCUUUGUUUCUGGUCCCCUGUUUCUAAUAUUUUUCUUUUCAAAAGAGGACCUCUAACCCCCACUCUUUUUGAUGUAGCCGCCAUUGUUGGCUUACGCCCUCAUGGCGUCACCCUUUCUAUGGCCUACAAUCCUGAUGGUGUGUCUGAUUUCGAAGCACACUUCGAUCUUAAUGAUUUGGCUUACUCCAAAUUCCUCCGAAAAUUUGCAGGUGAAUCCCCUGCUCCAGUCACCAGACAGGAACAUACGGCGUUCCUCCUAUACUGGUUGUGCCAUAAUCUUUUCUGCACUCGUUCGCAGAAAAUCAAUCGAGAUUUUGUUCCGAUCGCCAUCGGUUUAUCUAAUGGCGAUAAGUUGGCCUUAGGGCCAUAUUUCCUUGCUUUCGUUUACAGGGAAAUUUUUGAUUCCAUUAAGUCACUACCUUCCGGUGAUGGCAUUGCCAUCAGCUCUGGGUGUGGCGUUUUUUGGUUUUUGCAAAUGUUUCUUCAAUUCUAUAUCCCAGCUUUAUGUCAAUCUCCUUUCAAUCCCAUUCCAGCUGCCCAGUUUGAUUCUUAUGGGCUAGCUCUCGGCUGUCCACAGCCGAUGACCUCUGGUCAACCUUCUGAUUUUCUGACUUACUUUAAGGCUUUUUAUGAGCCAUCAUCUGAUUCAGCUAUUUCUUGGGCUCCUUUUGUUGAUCGUCUCACCGGCCCCUCUUGGUUCCUGGCUCGAUUUGAAGCCCUUCAAGGCGAGCUAUCUUCUUCUCGCGCUGGUGAACAUUCAGAUGUAUGGUAUUCCUAUCUAGCCCCCCGGGAUCUUCAUGUGGGGCUUAAAUCGCGUUCAAAGUUACUACCGAGUACUGAGGUUUAUUCUCCUCAGUAUGUAGCGCGGCAGUUUGGGCUCAUUCAGCCGAUCCCAGCUCCUUCUAAAUUUUUUACGGCCAACACAGCCGAUCAUCGUCCUCCCACCAAGAGUAUAUUUGAAGCUGACAAGCUUUCGGCCAUGGGAAAUCGUCUCAGACGCUUCUUCCAGCUAGCAAGCUUUCGUCCGAACUAUACAGGAGUAGCCCUUUCCGGCUAUGCUAUCACGUGGGAUCAGUUUACUAACAGCUUCUUUGAUCUUUCUUUGCCUCGAGCAUUCCGCAAAACCAUCCAUCCACUUGGUUGGUCAUCUAAUGCUUGUUUAUAAUUUUCUUCCAAUAUGGCUGUAAUAAUUUAUAUAUAUAUAUUUUUUUUAUAUACACAGCCACUACUCCGAGCAGAGAUUCUUCAACCGAGAUUGAGUCUCCACCGGAAACUAUUUUUGAUGCUCCACCUUUUUCCUCGGUAAUCUAUCAUUUUUUUUUUUUAUUCGUCUUGAUCGUAAUCUUUUUCUCUGCUCAUCACUUUUGUUUAUUUCUAUUUUUAGUCAAUCCCUGCUUCUCCAUCGGUCCCAGUCUCCGACAAAAAACCGAUUGAAGUUGUUCAAGUCACUCCUCCGCCGUCCUCAAAACGGCGCAAGUCAGUGGCCAAAAGAAAAUUUCAACAAACCGAAUGCACACCUUCGGCUGAAGUCACUAAAGACAGAGCCGAAGACGUUCCUUCGGCUGACGUUCCAACGCAAGAAACUAUUACACCGUCUUCGGCUACUGGACAAUCCCCCAUCUUAUCUGAACCAAUUGAUGUUGGGGUAAGCCGAAUUAAUUAGUCAUACGAGACAACAUUUCUUAAUUAUUUAUAGUUUUCUUUUACUACAGUCUUCCCCUGAGCGAGUCCUUUUUGCUCAUUGUUCGAAGAUGCAGAUGGAAAGGCAACUUCGUCGUGAAGCCCGACUUGAGAGAAAGAGCGGGAUGGAAAAGACAAAAAGGUCUAUCAAAACGGCGAGCGCGACGCCGUUGCCAAGUGAGGUUUCGUCACCUCUUUUCACUCCUAUCCUAACAUCAACUACAGAGGCUGAACGAAACAAGAUACCUCUUGAGCGAACCUCUGAGGACAAAGUCACUACUCCUCCCCAUUCGACUCAGGGAGCUUCUUCCUCUACUCCUGAUGAUCCUUUAUUUGCAAUUCUUCAUUCUUUUUUGACUUCAAGCCCUAGCUCCAAUGAGGGGGAUGAUUCUUCGACUGUGACCAUUUCAUCAGAUACCCAGAAUAAGUUCGAUGAAUGUCUUAAAAUAUUUGGCAUCGGAAUUCCGAAUUUAGCUCAGACUCCCGAGCAGUCUGAUCGGCUAUAUGCCCUUUUACUCGACUUAGCCGAUCGAUCGGAUGUUUCCCCUGGUAUCAAAUAUUUUGUGUCAACCUUAUCACUCCAACUUUCAUCUUUUUUGGCUCGGCAGCAAUCUUUAGGUGCCGAACUUGUAACUUUAGAUCAACAUUUUUAUCGCGUUGAUCAUUUCAAGAAAAAUAUACCUGAUAUAGCAGCUCCGCAUACUGAGGUGCAUCGAGAGGAUAAAGAAUUAGCUGAUCAAGAAUCGGCUCUGCAAAAGCGAAUCUCCUCACUUAAAGAAGAAUUGGCAGCAGCCGAGUCCACUCUGGCGCAUACCUCCGAGCGUCGACUUCAAUUAAAAGAUCAAUUGAGAUCUAAAAAGGAGGAAGGGAUAAAGCUUAAAGAAGAACUUUCCCAACUUUACAAAGUGCAUCCUCUGAUGAAGCGCCGAAGGAAAGCUGCCGAAACUGCCCAAGCCAAUCUUAUAGCCGAAUGGAAUCAACUUAGAGACUUAUUAUCUUGAUUCGGCUUGUAAUAUUUAAUCCUGAUUUUGAUUAUUUUCCCACAUGGAUGGGUAAUAUCUCUUUAAAUACUUACCGUUGAUUGGUUUUUCAUUUUCUGACCCAUCUCUGUUUUGCAAAUAAUACGCAUUUCCUCUUGUAACUCGACUAACCUGAAAUGGUCCUUCCCAAUUUGGAGACCAUUUCCCAUACACUCGGUCUUUUUGACCGAUCGGAAAAACCAGUCGAAGUACCAAAUCACCAAUGGCAAAUGUCUUUGAUCGGACUUUCUUAUUAUACGCAUUACGUACUCGGCUCUGGUAAGCUUGCAUAUUAUCUAAAGCUAUCAACCGAGUGUCUGUCAGUUCUUCUGUUUUGUCUUUCAUUAACUGACUAUAUUCAUCGGCCGAAAGAUUUUUUUGUUUUUCUAUCCUUAAAGAAGGAACUGUUAUUUCGGCUGGAAUUACGGCCUCAUGGCCGUAGACUAAUUGGAAUGGUGUCAUCCCUGUUGCCGUUUUCACUGAGGUUCGGCAUGACCAUAAUACUUCGGAAAGCUUUUCGUUCCAUUUUCUUGGAUGCUUUCCGAUAUGUCGUUUCAUAAGGUUAACGACUAUCUUAUUUGCUGCUUCUACUUGCCCAUUCGCUUGGGCAUAAUAAGGAGACGAAUGGAGCAGCUUUAUCUUUCGAGAUUCAAUGAACCGAACGAACUGUCCUCCUGUGAACAUUGUCCCUUGAUCGGUUGUAACGGUCUCAGGAAUCCCAAAGCGAUGAAUUAUAUGAUCUUCAACAAAAUCAAUAAUUUCCUUUUGUGUAACCAACCGAGUGGGUUUGGCUUCCACCCACUUAGUAAAAUAAUCGAUGGCUACUAUUAGAAAUUUGUGACCAGCCGAUGAAUUCGGCUGAAUUUCUCCAAUUAAAUCAAUGGCCCAUCCUCGAAAAGGCCAUGGUUUAAUUAUUGCGUACAUCUCAGAGGCAGGAACCCUCUGAAUCGGGCCAUGAAAUUGACAUUCUUGGCAACCCUUGGCAUACUCUAUGCAAUCUUGAUGCAUAGUUGGCCAAUAAUAUCCUAGGUGCCGAAUGGUCCAUCUUAACUUUUUUCCUGCCAUAUGGGUUCCACAUAUUCCUUCAUGUGUUUCCCCUAUUACCAAUAGAGCUUCUUCCGGCCCUAAACAUUUCAAUAAAACUUCUUCGGCUGUUCUUUUGUAUAGUUGACCGUCUAAUAAGCAGUAGCCGAGAGCCCUUCUUCGAAUAUUAUAAUCAACCCUUGUAUUGGGAUCCUCCAAAUAUUUAAUUAAUGAUUUCCUCCAGUCAUCUUUUACUUCUACAGGAGCUAUGAUCGGCUCUCGUAUAUGAACCGAAGGUAGCAGUCUCUUGUGUAUUAUUAUUGACUCUGAUUUCGGUUCUCUGUAUCCUGAAGCCGAUUGGGCCAAUUCGUUUGCCCUUUCAUUUUCCUGUCUGUUCAAAUGUUCAAGUUCGGCUUCUCCGAAAUUGCAUAAUAAUUCUAAUGUCUUUCUCAGAUAAUUUUGCAAAUUUGGAUUUUCACAUCGGUAUUCUCCUUUAACCUGCUUGAUCACUAACUGUGAGUCACCGAUGACUUUGAUUGACUUAACUCUCAAUUCUUGCAAUAUUUCAAGGCCGAUUAUCAAGGCCUCAUAUUCGGCUUGGUUGUUGGAACAGCCGAAAUCCAAUUUAAAUGCAAAUUGACAAAUAUAACCUUCAGGUGACUGUAUCACUAUCCCUACUCCUGCAGAUUCAGUUGUUUUUGAACCGUCAAAGUACAAUACCCAAGGUUGACAACCGAUUACAUUCUGUAUCGGCUCCUCUAUUUCUACACAUGGGUGAUCAGCCAAAAAAUCAGCUAUAGCCUGGCCUUUGAUAGCUUUAGCAGGAACGUAAUUAAGGGAGAACUCAGAUAAAGCCAAUAUCCAUUUCCCAAUACGUCCUCGUAGCACUGGCUUGGAUAACAUAUAUUUUAUCAAAUCGGUCUUGCAUAUUACCGAUACUUCAGUUGACAAAAUAUAAUAUCUCAAUUUUGUGCAUGCAUAAUAUAAAGCCAAACAUAAUUUUUCUAUAGCCGAGUACCGUUUCUCUGUAUCUAGCAAACGUCGGCUUAGGUAAUAAAUAGCUUGCUCUUCUUUCUCUUCAUUUUCUUGAGCCAGCAAACACCCCAAAUUUUCGUCUGCAGCCGAUAUAUAUAGCUUCAUCGGCUGAUUCGGUUUUGGAGGUACCAAUACCGGAGGGUUUGAUAAAUAUCUUUUUAUAUUUUCAAAUGCCUCCUGCUGUUCCUCUGCCCAAACGAAUUCUUCCUUAUCUUUCAGCCGAAGUAAUGGAGUAAACACCCCGAUUCUUCCGGCUAAAUUAGAUAUAAACCGUCGAAGAUAGUUUACCUUUCCCAACAAACUCUGUAAUUCCUUUUUGCAUUUGGGUGGCGGUAACUCUACUAUUGCUUUUGCUUUAUUUUUAUCAAUUUCAAUCCCUUUCUUAUGCACCAAAAACCCUAAGAAAUUUCCUGCCGAAACCCCAAAGGCGCAUUUCAAAGGAUUCAUUUUUAAAUUGUAUUUUCUCAUUCUCUCAAAAGCGAGUUUUAAAUCGAUCCAAUGUUCGGCUUGCGACUCGGAUUUGAUAACUAUAUCAUCGAUAUAGACUUCCAACAUCUUGCCGAUUAAAUCGUGGAAAAUAAAAUUCAUGGCUCUUUGGUAGGUAGCUCCGGCAUUCUUUAAGCCGAACGGCAUAACAACCCAUUCAAAGGUUCCAAUUGAACCGGGGCAUCUAAAAGCCGUUUUAGCCACGUCUUCCUCAGCAAUAUAAAUUUGAUUAUAGCCAGCAUGUCCAUCCAUGAAGGACAUAAUUUCAUUACCAGCAGCCGAAUCUACUAACAUAUCGGCUAUAGGCAUUGAAUAUUCGUCUUUAGGUGUAGCUAAAUUUAAGUUCCUAAAGUCGAUACAAACUCUGAGUUUACCAUUCUUUUUACGUACUGGAACUAUAUUAGACACCCAAUCAACAUAACGGGCCGCUCUAAUAAAUCCGGCCUUUAAAAGAUUUUCAAUUUCAUUUUUAAUCUGAAGUACAAUACUCGGCUCGAACCUACGAGCCGGUUGUUUAAAAGGCUUAAACCCUUUUUUGAUAGGCAGCCGAUGCUCUACAAUCUCUCGGCUUAACCCUGGCAUUUCUUCAUAGCUCCAGGCAAAACAAUCUUUGUAUUCUUCUAAUAGCUUCUUCAAUUCUUCUUGUUGCCGAACCGACAGCUUGGAACUUAUGAACGUUGGCUUGUUGUCUUCAUGAGACCCUAGGUUUACUUCUAUCAACAAGUCCUGGGUCUCCAGCUUUUUCUCGUCGGCUUUAAUAGGCGAUUCUUCUAGCUCUAUUUCCGCUGGUUGCCUAUUCAUCUCAUAUGAUUCUUCGGUCUUCUUGACCGAUUUCGCUUGACCUUCCUUCUCGGUCUUAUGAACCGAGUCUUUUAUGAUCUUCUCGGCCUUACUGGCCGACUUCUCAGGUGCCAACACAUCGGCUUUGGCAGCCGAGUUAUCCUCAUAGCCGAUCUUGUUGAUCGGCCCAUCUUGUUGAGGCUUGUGCCAAGCCUCUAUCCCUGAUUUUUGGGAUUCCAUUUUAACCAUCUUGGUGGCUCUUCAACAGCCACCAUAGCAUUGAUAUCUUUAGAGAGAAUUAAUUGAAUUCCCUCCUCUGUUACUCUCACAAAGGAAAUCUGAUCUGGAUCAGCAUCGGCCCAAUUGUGAUGGCCGAUGUCCUCCAUGUUGACAUCUAUCAUUUGAGGCCGUCCUUCGGCCCGGACUUCUUCUACCUUGUCUCCUAUCCACUGGAACAAUUUCCCGUGGAGUGUAGAGGGCACGCACUCAUUCGCAUGGAUCCAGUCACGCCCGAGUAGUAAGUUGUAGUGGCUAUCUGCAUCCACCACAAAAAAUGCAGUUUUUAAAGUUUUCGAACCUACCGUAAGUUCGGUGGUGAGCACUCCUCGGGCUUGUUGACCGUUUCCUGUGAAAUCGGUCAUGAUCGAAUCGGUAGGCUUCAACUCGUCCUCGUCUUUGCCUAACUUCUUAAAGAAAGAAGUAGGCAUUACGUUAACCAUGGCACCGCCGUCCACCAUCACUCGGCCUACCGGCCGACCUUCAAUCAAAGCUUUUAUAAAAAGAGGUCUUAUAAACCUCAUCUGCAUGGCCGAUGGUUUCUCAAAAACCACUGCGUCGGCCGGUCGAACAUCUUCUAAUUGCAACUGGGCUACUCUAAGCCCAUCUUCCUCCUCCUCUCUAUAUUCUUCAUACUCGAUAAACUCUGCCUUAAAGGAUUGAGGCAGAGCAUACACCAUGUUUACUUCAGCCGGUGAUUCUUCGACUGAUUUUCCUUUGGUUCUUUGUUUCUUCUCCUCCGACUCCUUUGUUGUUUCGGCAGAAGAAUCACUUUCCAUCCGGACCUCCCUUUCUUUCGGAGGCCAUCUCUCUCUUUUGAUCAUAGUCUCGAGGGAAGCUAUUUUUUCUUCCAACUCCCUCCUGAUCAUCUUAUCUUCUGACUCGGCCUCGAUUGGCCGCUCUAUUCUUGACUUCAACUGGGGGGCGAGUGAUGAGCCGCCUGCCUCGUGAUCAUUUCUUAUUGGACGAAAAGGGUGUGACUGCUCAUCAGGGCGCCUCCAAACAUUGAGCCUUAUCCCUUUCGCCUCCUCAUAAUGUUGCCUUGCUUCGGCUUGUAUCCUCUGCUGCCGACGUUUCUGAGUUUUUGUUAACAUCGGCCCACGCCAUCUGGCCGAUGGUUUAACUUCAACGUCGUGCCAUUCAUCUACUGGCACAUUCGCCGGUAUCUUCACCGUUCUUAAAUGAUUUUUCAAAAUUUCUCUUCUUUCCCAUGGUCUCGGCCAAGGUUGAAUGCCGAGCUCAUUGACUAACCUUCGACCGAGGAAUUCUAUGUCUCCCUCGGUCAUUCCUUCAAAUUCUGGCUCUGGUCUCGGCCUGGCUUGUUGUUGCCAAUGUGGCCGAUACCCAGGGAAUCUUUGUUUGGAGCCGAAAGGUCUGUCCUGGAAGUCCCAUCGGCCAUGACGUUCUCCACGCCUAUUGUUGUAGUAAUCGUGCAGAAUCUUCUGCAUCAUGAUGUCUUUCUUGCGUUGAACCGAAUCUAUUUCCGGUUCGGUGUCAUUAGAGGCUGCAUCCGAGCCUUCUUCUUCUAGGUCUUCGCCAUCGGGAAUAUCAUCCCAAUCCUCGGGGAAUGCCAUCAGUUCGUUCCAUUCGUUUCCCCUUUUCUUGGCAUUCACGAUAGCUUCCCAGUCUUUUUUCGUCAUUUCGGCCUUGCACCUAAUGCAUAGCCGAAGGUGUUUCUUGGCAUGAGCCACGUUGUCAGCGGUCUCCUUGUCUAAAACUUCCUUUCCUUUGAUAUUCACCAUAUUGACCUGAAAUGGAAAUGAAGUUUUGUUAAUUAUUCGAUUUUUAUUUUCUUGGUCGGCCAAUAUGAGCCGACCCUCUUCUAUUUCCUCUUGAAUCUGCCUUUUUGCAGUCGCUUUCCCUUUUCCUUUCAUAUUCACGGUGUUGACCUGUGAUGGAAAAGGAUUCUUAUCAAUUUCCAUAUCUUUGUUUUCUUGGUCGGCAAAAAUCAGCCGACCCUCAUUUAUCUCUUUUUGAAUUUGCCUCUUAAAGGCAGUGCAUUCACUAGUUUUAUGGCUCCAUGAAUGGUGCCAUUUGCAGUAUCUUCUACGUUUCAAUUCUUCUACAGGAGGUAUGGUUUGACCUUCCUGUAGUUUAAUUCGUCCAUCUUUUAACAACCGAUCAAAAAUAAAAUCGGUUUUAGAUAUAUCAAAAGAAUAACUAAAAGCAGACACAUGUGCUUUUGCCUCUCUUGACUUUGCAGGUUUUAGCAAAGCACAUUUGUAUGGUUGAUUAUUCUUCACCAUCUCGGCAGCACAUAUUUCGGCUUCGUCAGCCGAAUCUUCUGCCUCCUCAGAUGAAUUCGGCUCCUCAUGAGCCGAGGAUUCUUCAAAGAAAGAAAUAUUUUUCUCUUUCCCUUUAUUCCAAUCUUUAUUUCGGCUCCACCUAGGCCGAUCUUCAUUGUUCCCUUUUCGAAAUUGCUCGUAUUGAGCAACUCGAACUCCCAAAUCAAAAAGAUUUGGAAAGAACUUAUCUUCAAAAUGAUCCUUAAUCUUAAAAUGCAUGCCGUUAAAUGCCAUUCUGGCAAAUUCUGAUUCCGGCAUCCUCACAAAACAUCGGCUUCGAGCCGUCUUGAAUCGGUUUAAAUAUUCAUCAACCGAUUCUCCCGUUUUUUGUCUAAAUUGAGCCAAGUCUGCAACUGACAACUCAGGCUCAGUUCUAUAAAAUUGCUCAUGAAACUUACCUUCUAAUUCGUCCCAGUCUCGGACGGAAUUAGCAGGUAAACUCGUAUACCAAGUGAAAGCUGUCUUGGUCAAUGAAGUAUUAAAUAAUCUUAAUUUCAAAAAAGGAUCUGCCGCAGCUUCGCGGCAUUGGGCUGUAAAUCGAGCGACAUGUUCGACCGUAUUUUCGGUCUCAUCUCCAGAAAAUUUGUCAAAUUUCGGCAUCUUCCAAUUUGCCGGAUAUGGGUGUUCCACAUCUAUAUUAACAGGAUAUGGUGAUCUGAAUACAGGCCGCAUUGCCGGCCUUGUGCCUACUCCGAAAGUGUUUCGGAUCGCUUCUUCUAUUUGCGCAUAUAUUUCAUUAUUAAUCCCCGGCAAGGGGGCUUGCGCUGGUACUGGGUUCAAUGGUUGUUGAAUCCCAAUAUUUUGCCCUAGGGGAUUAACCCCUUGUGCAUUCGGGAGCUGCCCCCUAGCCUCUACAUUUUGAGGCUGGUAGGCUGCAAUUGGAGGGGGUGGAGGUAAACCCCAAGCCAUUUCUGGCUGUUGACCGGCAUUACCGACAGCCGGUCUAUAAACCGCUUGAUACUGUGCCCCCUGGUAUUGGGGCUGGCCACCUACCGGUGUUACUGGAUUCUGUAACACUGGUGUUACCACAGGCACUUGAAGGCCUGCUAUCGGCUGCUCGUUUCGAGCUAACAACUGCCCUAUUCGGGCUAUAUUUUCGUUAGAGGCCGUGAUUGCGGCCAAAACGGCGUCCAGCCGUGCGGUACUUGCAUGACUAUUUUGGUCCAAAGUCUGUAGGACCCUAGUCAUCUGGCCAAGUGCUUGGGUCAAACUAGGCUCCUGUUGGCCGGAUUGACCGCUAGUUUCACCUUCCGUCGGUAAAACUGCUUGGCGCUCCACAGCGUUCUCCGAAUUACCGGGCUGUUCACUCCCAGAAUUUCUGGGAAUGGCCCUAUUACGGAGAUUCAUGGCGUUGUCGUCAGCCAUAAUUUAUAUAUAUAAAGUGAAAUUCAAAUUUACCUCAACUAAAGGUCCCACCGGGCGUGCCAAGAAAUUGUUGCGCUGCCUAAAGUCCCGACCCUUGACCCGGUCAGAUAUCCUCCUCGCGAAGAGUGCCGGGAUGAUGAGCGGCUGCGGAUGAUGACCCUUGAAGUUUGCGCCCAUAGAGGAUCAAGCGAUUAGGCCGAUGAGGGAUCGAAUCAGCCGGGUUCGAAAACCUUCACAGUAGAUCCGCUUCGGCAGGAUGAGCCGAAUAAACAGGGGAAGCCUAUAUCUCGGCUGAGGGAUGAGCCGAAUGGCUAGAACAACACGAGAUCUGAUCGGCAGGAAGAGCCGAAAUGACUUUCUAUUAAUAAAAAGGGAGUGAUGCCCGGAGGGCAGACAGACUCCGAGGUGUACAAGGGAGUGAUGCCCGGAGGGCAGACAGACUCCGAGGUGUUUACAAUGAAGUGAUGCCCGGAGGGCAGACAGACUCCAAGGAGGCUAAGUUACAGGAACUACUCCUAGGAAAAGCGAUAAAUGCAGGAAAGAAAGAUGUAGGAAAAUAAAGGUGGUCUUUUGUGCGCAGGGGCGAAGACCCGUUUUCAGGGUACUGCAAGCCUAUUUAUAGAUUUGCCCUUGCGUUCAUUUGUUGUUA
rnacentral:lncRNA from 1 species